rnacentral:rRNA from 1 species
ACGGAGAGUUUGAUCCUGGCUCAGGAUGAACGCUGGCGGCGUGCUUAACACAUGCAAGUCGAACGAACCUUCGGGUUAGUGGCGGACGGGUGAGUAACGCGUGAGAAUCUGCCCUCAGGAGGGGGAUAACGGCUGGAAACGGCCGCUAAUACCCCAUAUGCCGAGAGGUGAAAUGAAUUUCGCCUGAGGAUGAGCUCGCGUCUGAUUAGCUAGUUGGUGGGGUAAAGGCCUACCAAGGCUUCGAUCAGUAGCUGGUCUGAGAGGAUGAUCAGCCACACUGGGACUGAGACACGGCCCAGACUCCUACGGGAGGCAGCAGUGGGGAAUUUUCCGCAAUGGGCGAAAGCCUGACGGAGCAACGCCGCGUGAGGGAUGAAGGCCUCUGGGCUGUAAACCUCUUUUCUCAAGGAAGAAGAUCUGACGGUACUUGAGGAAUAAGCCACGGCUAAUUCCGUGCCAGCAGCCGCGGUAAUACGGGAGUGGCAAGCGUUAUCCGGAAUUAUUGGGCGUAAAGCGUCCGCAGGCGGCCUUGUAAGUCUGUCGUUAAAGCGUGGAGCUUAACUCCAUUUCAGCGAUGGAAACUACAAGGCUUGAGUGUGGUAGGGGCAGAGGGAAUUCCCGGUGUAGCGGUGAAAUGCGUAGAUAUCGGGAAGAACACCAGUGGCGAAGGCGCUCUGCUGGGCCAUAACUGACGCUCAUGGACGAAAGCCAGGGGAGCGAAAGGGAUUAGAUACCCCUGUAGUCCUGGCCGUAAACGAUGAACACUAGGUGUCGGGGGAAUCGACCCCCUCGGUGUCGUAGCCAACGCGUUAAGUGUUCCGCCUGGGGAGUACGCACGCAAGUGUGAAACUCAAAGGAAUUGACGGGGGCCCGCACAAGCGGUGGAGUAUGUGGUUUAAUUCGAUGCAACGCGAAGAACCUUACCAGGGUUUGACAUCCUGCGAAUCUCUUGGAAACGAGAGAGUGCCUUCGGGAGCGCAGUGACAGGUGGUGCAUGGCUGUCGUCAGCUCGUGUCGUGAGAUGUUGGGUUAAGUCCCGCAACGAGCGCAACCCACGUCGUUAGUUGCCAGCAUUUAGUUGGGCACUCUAGCGAGACCGCCGGUGAUAAACCGGAGGAAGGUGUGGAUGACGUCAAGUCAUCAUGCCCCUUACAUCCUGGGCUACACACGUACUACAAUGCUACGGACAAAGGGCAGCAAACUCGCGAGAGCUAGCAAAUCCCAUAAACCGUGGCUCAGUUCAGAUCGUAGGCUGCAACUCGCCUACGUGAAGGAGGAAUCGCUAGUAAUCGCAGGUCAGCAUACUGCGGUGAAUACGUUCCCGGGCCUUGUACACACCGCCCGUCACACCAUGGAAGUUGGCCACGCCCGAAGUCGUUACUCCAACCCUUGUGGAGGAGGA